UGUUUGUAAAUUCUGCUGUUUUUGUUCAUCUGACAGUGGUGUCCACCAUAAAAAGAAAGACUGCAGCUCGCGCACUGUCUUACACAAAGUGCAUCGAGCUAUACAAGUGGGACUACAUACCUUAUUUCCACGACAACUGAUUGUUGUUCAUACACCUCCAAAAAAGGUGAAAAAGCACAAGGGCAAUGGAGGCUGGGGUGACAAGCGGGAUCACGCCCUCUGUCGUUCGUUUAGUGUGAGCACAGCCCCUUACUCUGUGAUGGUCAACAGCUCUGUAUUGUCGACACAAGUGGUUGGUAACAAUUCAGUCAAUGGGAGUGCGAUAGUACGCAGUGGCUCUUGAUCAUGGUACUGCAAUUUUCUUAUUACUGAUGUAUAUAAGGUGAGAUUUACAAUGUGAUGAUUUUUUUUUUGCUCCAGGGAAGGAAAUAUAGUUGUAAAUGAAUGAGGUCCUUAUUAAUGCUGAGAUCUUUACAUUACUGCAAAUUGAUUCGUUGAUCAGAAAAUGGAUAAUCUUCGCACAAUAAAGUAUAUGGAUGCCAUUUAAAGCAAGUACCAUUAUUCAUUAUUUGUUGCUUUUGUUACCAUGCUUUCAUUUUACAUAUAGGUAGAUGUGUGGAAAUUGAAAACAACAAAAGCAAAAGUGUAAACAUGUUGCAAGGCUAUUUUCUUUGAUUUUAUGGAAAGUUCAUAAUCAGUAAGCAGAGUUUGAUACCUCUGUAUCAAGCACAACAAGGCAUAGUAUUUUGUCAGAAUUACAUAUAUGAGAUUAUUCUCUGUAAGUAUGACAAUCAGUUUGUAUUUAACCCACUAUGAAUGGGUAUAUGAAUAUUAUUGUAUGUUUGGAAAGGCUCAUACUGUUGAAGUCUUUUUAGUUAGUGCUUUGAAAGGCAUUUUUUUUCAAUAUUUGCAUUAUAUUCUAUUUUUUUUGUGCUUUGAAAGACAUUUUUUUCAGUAUUCAGUAUUAUAUUCCAUUUUAUUUGUAACCCAUUGCUGCUGGGUCUAUGCACUGUCCACUGUGGAUUUUGUAUUAUUAGUUUUAAUUUGUGAUAAACUCACCAAGGACUUUUUUAAUAAGCCUACUGGAACUUGCCUGUUUACCUCUUUUUUUUUUAAGGGUUUUAGUGUCUGUUACUAUUAUUAUUGUUCUUAACUUCAUUACUGUUAAUAUUAUUAUCAUUAUUUUCUUUUUAUUAUUAUUAUUAAUUAUUAUUAUUAUUAUUAUUAUUAUUAUUAUUAUUAUUGUUAUUGUUAUUAUUGUUAUUAUUAUUAUUGUUAUUAUUAUUAUUAUUAUUAUUAUUAUUAUUAUCAUUAUUAUCAUUGGUAUUGUUAUUAUUUAUUGCCAUUGUCAUUGCCAUCAUAAUCAUUAUCAUCAUUAUUAUUAUAACAUUGCUAAUAAUAGAAACAAUGAAAAUAAAGGCACUUCAUCUAGAAAAUCCAAGGAAUGGGGUAAUCAGGUCAGGUUUGGUAGACCAAGUGAUUGGUGAUUCAGCAUUUCCAGAAGCAUCAUUGGCAAUACAAAAUGAAGACAGUGGACAUGCACUCCUGGCGUCUACAGAUUGAGAGACCUAUCUAUACGUAAAGAUGUAUUGAUUAUUUUUUUGGCAGGUGUAAAAUAACUCAUUCUUUUGAAUUAUAUAUUUUUUUGUUACAAUAGUACAAUUUUUAUCUUAUAUUACUAGCGAGUCUUACUGCUUUUUGUCACAUGCUACAGUAUUAGUCUUAUUGUUACUGCUGUACCAAACCUUUACUUGUGCAUUGUCGUAGCUUGUACUAUGUUAUGGAGUGGCUUUAAUGUUAAAGUACUGUAUGCUUUGCUGGUUACAUUUACAGAUAAGGUAACUUGAUUACUGUCCUAGGGAUUGUGGUCUGUAUGAAGAGAAUUUUUGUGUAUACUCAUCAGUUUUGCUGAUACUUUUUUUUUCUUUAUUUCUUUAUUUUUUUUUUAGUUUUUCUAUUUUUUAUGUCAGGGCUUCUUGCUGGAAAAUUAUAGCCCUGAGUGCUUAUAUGCUGUUUAUGAUAACGAUAUUUCGAGAACUCUAUAUAUAUAUAUUUGUCGUAAAUUCUGUGGCUCCUUUUAUACGAAUCACAUCCAUGAUUAAAGGUUGUGCUCUGUAGUAUGUCGAUGGGUGCUCUUCUUAUCGCUAAGCUGUUAUUCCCCUAUUUCUAUGCUUUAUACCCCAUAAAAAGAUACUCUUUAGCAUUUCUUACUCAGUUUUUUAUAUUUUCAAUAGUUUUUUUGGUUUAUUUGUUGGUGUAUGUUCUUUUUUAUCUCAGACAUUUUUUGUUGAUGAAAUUUUAAUAGCACAAAAGAUAUAUUGCCAUUUUUAUAUAUAUACUUUUUCUUCAAUAUUUCUUCUUGUUCCACUAGAAUUGUAAGUUCUUGAAGCACUUCUCCAAUCUACACAAUACUAAAAUAGUACAGGUACAGUUUAUUGCUGUGGUCUUUGAUAAGUAAACAAAUUAUGUGUAAAUCAUGCUAGUCACUUGAUAGUCAAAUUAUGUCCUGGAAGUUUAUGAAGUCAAAAACUUGUCAAGAGUCAUGGCUUGUGACACGUGUCAGACAGUAAAGGUAAAUGAAUGAAGUAGAUUUUCAUAAGGAUGCAUGUUUCAGAUGAUAUGAUGACUGCCCAUGACGGUUUGAUGAAUAAAUUGGAAAUUUAAAGAAAUAAAACAAAAUGGGAAAAAGUGCAGAAUUUUGUCCUGGUUACAUACUCAAUUACAGCUGUAGGGCAUAUAUGUAUUAUUUUUUUUCUUGUGCUAGAAGUAUUUAUGAAUAUGAUUACUAGAAACAGGGCAGGCCAUCAUGGUAACUGAACUAAAGGAAGGUAUUUAACAAUAUCCAGGGGCAUUAAACCUAGUUUCUCUUCAGCAUUGCUUAUAACUGCUCUCAUGUAAUUAAAAAGCUGUCAUAUAAUCUAGGAAGUUAUUUAAAGAUAUGCUUAUCAUCUAUUUUCUCAUCAGUAUACUGUAUCAGUGGGAAUGAGAUAUUUUCUUGAAGCCACCCAUGCCUUUUGUGCCAAAGAGGCACAUUUACAAAUUGGAAGAAUAUUUGCACUAUGGUGUUAUUUUCACACAAACCCUCUUUUUAUGCUAGUGUAGCCUUAAUCUGUCAAUGUGCCAGAAAACUUGAUUGUGGGCAGACUAAUGUAGCAAAGUAGUUAGAGAAUAUUUGUAUAUUUGGUAUUGUAUGUAAUGCAAUGUUUUGUGGAAAGAUGCUGUAAGAAAGGGCAUAUUUAUAAUGAAAAAAGUAUUAAAAAAAAAAAAAAAAAAAAAAAAAAAACACAAAAACAAAUGCAAAAAAAAUCUGCACAGAAUUUAUAAUACAGAAUUAUAGUUUGCACAUAUGUAGUCUGUGCUAGAAUACAUUUGCCAGGGUUUGUCACAUGUGGGAAAUUUAUACAUAUUAAAAAAUAAACUGUAUUUUUGGGGCUAUAAGCCUGUACUAGUCAUACUCAGUAUUUAUUUAGGUACUGUACAGAGGGCCAUUCAUAUAUUGAUCUAUUUAUGCUUGCAGUGCUGUACCCUAGGCCUAAGUCAGAAUAAAUAGAAAAACAAACAAACAAACAAAAAAAAAACACAUUCUUCACCAUCUUCACGUCCAUCGAUUCUCAUUCCCCUACCCACCGGAAUAAUGCUAAAAUUACUUCGAUCAGUAUGCAAGUGGCCCCAAAUCAUCAUGUAUGCAUCAUAAUUUUGUGAGUUCAUAUUGUCCCCAUAUAAUCACAGUAUGCUAAAAUGUCCUAUGAUGUCCAUGUGGACUUUGUUUCAAUUCGUUUUAUGUCUUAUAUUUUUGGGAACUUAUUGAUGUUUUCGUUGGUCGUAAUCAACCAGAUAUUGUUUACUCUGGUUAUAUAUGCUAAGGAGAGGAAUUUUGAUACAGGUCUAGUUUACAAGGUAUAAUUUACAAGUGUUAGAUAUCCUAUCUAUUAAUACCUCAAUCAGUGUGUUAAUAAAGGUCAAUAUUUCGAAAAGUAGCGAUAUUCUCUUUCUUUUCGGUUUUGGCAGAGACUUCAAUGCUUGUUUUAUGUAUUUUAAAAAUUUGAUUGAUUUUUUCAUUGUGGUGAGGUGCCAUUAUGAUUUAGUGUUGGUAACCAGUAUCUUGAUCUUUUAAUGAUCAAUUUUGUUCUGCGUCUACUUUCCCAGAAAGUAGGGCAUUACAGUUUGCUAAUUUGUCAGGAACGAAGAGAGAAUGAAAAAUAAUAGGAAAGAGUUUAGAUAGGAUAAAGACAGUGAGUGUUUGCAUAUUAUUUCAAAUCUUUCAAAUGUUUUGGUUUUCAUGUUGCUACUUCUUUAGAAGGGAGAGGGAAAGGAAAACAAAUCAGGGAGAGAGAAAGAUAUAGAUUCUCAAGGAGCAGCAUUCUUUUGCCUGGAACUUUAGAAUUUGAAGCACUUGUUACUUAGCAGAAAUUGCCAUGCAUAUCUGUAGCACAAAAAGCUUUUACUUUUAUGUUCUCCAUUAUAUUCUCAUUCUUUUUAAGAGGUGUCUUGUGCUUAAUUUUUAAGGAAUGAUUUGAGUUAUUUAUGUGUUAUGGCAUUGAUGCUUCUUGAAUGCAUUUAUUGAGUAUUUCAGAUAUGUAUAUCAGUGAAAUUCUGAAUUUAAACAUGCUUAGAAAAAUAGCAUGAAUAAGAGAAAAACUAGUCAACGAGUGUAACAGUUUAAUUUGAACAUUUAAGUUUACUUAAAACUGUUGAACUGCUUUAUUAGACAUACUAUACAGGGACUGAGAUAUAUACCUUACUUCCAAUUUUCCCAAUGUCUCAAAAAGAUUUAGUAAAGUACCUAAUGUUUUUCAGGACUGUGUUUAGAGUAUGAAGAAACAUUUUUUCAUAAACAAGGGCAGAAGUACAUGCUUAGCAGUAUGUAACAGUAUGAAGUACACAAGGGUUCUAGGUGAAAGUAAAUGGAAAUGAAUAUA